UAGGGAAUAUUGGUAAUCUGGGAAACCGGGAACCAGCAACGCCGCGUGUGCGAUGAAGGCCUUCGGGUUGUAAAGCACUUUUUGAGGGGAUGAGGAAGGACAGUACCCUCAGAAUAAGCCUCGGCUAACUACGUGCCAGCAGCCGCGGUAACACGUAGGAGGCAAACGUUAUCCGGAUUUACUGGGCGUAAAGCGCGUGUAGGCGGUUCUGUAAGUAGGGCGUGAAAGCUCCUGGCUCAACUGGGAGAGGCCGUUCUAAACUGCAGAGCUAGAGGAUGGUAGAGGGAGGUGGAAUUCCGGGUGUAGCGGUGGAAUGCGCAGAUAUCCGGAGGAACACCAGUGGCGAAAGCGGCCUCCUGGACCAUUCCUGACACUCAGACGCGAAAGCUAGGGUAGCAAACG
rnacentral:rRNA from 1 species